GAAGUCGGUCAGGCAACCGCCGCGCGCCGUUUGAGGGCGCGGGGAGGAAAGUCCGGGCUUCACAGAGCGGGAUGCCGGUUAACGGCCGGGCGCCGCGAGGCGACGGAAAGUGCAACAGAGAAUAGACCGCCGAUGGCCGAAGGCGCCUCGUUUACGAAGCGCCGUUGCGGAAGGUUUCGCGCCUUCCGCCGGAUCAGGCAAGGGUGAAACGGUGGCCCGGAGUAUCCGGGACAGGGGGUGAAAUCCCCCUCGUGGUAAGAGCCCACCGCGGACGUGGCAACACGGACGGCAUGGCAAACCCCAUCCGAAGCAAGGCCAAAUAGGGAAGCACAGGCGUGGCUCGCGCCGCUUCCGGGUAGGCUGCUCGAGCGCGUCGGCGACGGCGCGCCUAGAUGAAUGGUUGCCCAACGACAGAACCCGGCUUAUCGACCGACUUCCCCU
rnacentral:RNase_P_RNA from 1 species